AGCCUGCCAGUUUGAUAUUCACAAUCCUGGGUUCAAAAUUAAUCAUCAAUAAACCAUAAUUUUUAGAGUUCAUUGAAAUUAAUUCCAAACUUUAAUAAACAAUAAUGUUCCAAUGUCUAUGAUGCAAAGGUGGGUGUGGGGGAGUUGGGAGAAAAACAGACAGAGAGUUCUUUAUUUUUUAUUGACCUUUUGCUUGAAACUGUAAUUGUAGAGCUCACUGAAAAGUAAUUCCAAGAUUU
rnacentral:misc_RNA from 1 species